AUACGGAGGAUGCGAGCGUUAUCCGGAUUUAUUGGGUUUAAAGGGAGCGUAGGUGGGAUAUUAAGUCAGCUGUGAAAGUUUGGGGCUCAACCUUAAAAUUGCAGUUGAUACUGGUUUCCUUGAGUACGGUAUAGGUGGGCGGAAUUCGUGGUGUAGCGGUGAAAUGCUUAGAUAUGACGAAGAACACCGAUUGCGUAGGCAGCUGACCAGACCGCAAAUGACGCUCAUGCACGAAAGUGCGGGGAUCGAACAGGAUUAGAUACCCUGGUAGUCCGCACAGUAAACGAUGAAUACUUGUUUUCGGCGAUAUAAUGUCGGAGGCAAAGCGAAAGCGAUAAGUAUUCCACCUGGGGAGUACGCCGGCAACGGUGAAACUCAAAGGAAUUGACGGGG
rnacentral:rRNA from 1 species